GUUGUCUCAAGCGUCGGAGGUGGUGGCGACGGAGCUGUCGGCAUCGGAGGAGUCGGCGACCGAAGUGCCGGCGUUAGUGAAGAAGAUCACGCUGAUAAGCUCCGACGGCGUUGAGUUUGUGAUCGAUGAGAACGUCGCCAUGGAGUCUCAGACGAUCAAGCACAUGAUCGAGGACGACUGCGCCGAGAGCAGCAUCCCCCUCCCAAACGUAAGCAGCAUGAUCCUUACAAAGGUCAUCGAGUACAUUAAGAAGCAUGUCGAGUCGCCGACGAAGGCCAUCGCUGAAAUGGCCGCUGAUAAGGCCGCCAUUGAGGAGCUGAAGAAGUGGGAUGCUGAAUUCGUGAAGUUUGAUCAGGGUACUCUGUUUCAAAUGAUUCUGGCAGCAAACUAUCUGAACAUCAAAGGGUUGCUGGAGCUUACUUGUGAACGUGUGGCUGAUAUGAUGAGGGGAAAGACGCCUGAGG
rnacentral:misc_RNA from 1 species